rnacentral:ncRNA from 1 species
CCACGAGGGUUAACAUCGGAGCGAAUAGGAAGGGAAGAAAACCCAGAUAUGAAGCGAAAACGAAGGACUAAACAUAUAGCAGGAGUGACCUAGAAAAGGCUAGAGUUAAACUGUUGGGACCCGAAAGAUGGUGAACUAUGCUUGUGGUGUUUGAAGCCGAAGGAAACUUGGGUGGAAGGACUUAGCCGUGUUAAUGUGCAAAUUACUUGCAAUAUAUGAGUAUGGGGCGAAAGGCUAAUCGAACUAUCUAGCAGAUGGUUCCACCUGAAUAUUCCCUUGGGAAAGUUGAAGUGAGGAAGUAGUGACGAUUGGUAAAGAUAAUGAUUACACAUGAUGGACAGUUUGAUUUUUCAACGAUUUAACAAACUGUGAAUAGUCGAGAGCUUCAAAAAUAUACUAAUUUAUUAGGAGUGAGCAUAUGGGACUUCAAAUCGGCCAAGUCUGGUAAGCAGGACUGGCGAUGCGUGAUGAACCGGAAAUACAGAUAAAGUAUCCAAGUCUUGCAUGAGGAGAACCAUAAAAGGUGUUCAUUCAUAUUGACAAUAGGACGAUGGCCAUUGAAAUUGUAAAUUUUUAGAAAAGUGUAACAACUCAUUUACCGAAUGGAUGAGCCCUGAAAAUGGAAGGUAAUAAAAUGAGAGAGGUGAUAUUGUAUUUUUGUGGAGGCUGAGGCACACGAGGAGUAAGGAAAUGCAUGGUGUCAAGAAUACGUGAGAGAUAAAGGUAGAGAAGUAAUUUCUAUUGAAACAGACUUGAGUACAGAUCUUGG